CCCUUAGAUGUCCUGGGCCGCACGCGCGUUACACUGAUGCAUUCAACGAGCUUAUAACCUUGGCCGAGAGGCCUGGGCAAUCUUGUUAACGUGCAUCGUGAUAGGGAUAGAUUAUUGAAAUUAUUAAUCUUGAACGAGGAAUUCCUAGUAAACGCAGAUCAUCAAUCUGCAUUGAUUACGUCCCUGCCCUUUGUACACACCGCCCGUCGCACCUACCGAUUGGAUGGUCCGGUGAAGCCUCGGGAUUGUGGUUCUUGCCGCUUUAUUGUGGCGUGACCGCGAGAACUUGUCUAAAUCUUAUCAUCUAGAGGAAGGUGAAGUCGUAAC
rnacentral:rRNA from 1 species